rnacentral:rRNA from 1 species
CGAAAGCCUGACGGAGCAACGCCGCGUGAGGGAUGAAGGCCUCUGGGCUGUAAACCUCUUUUCUCAAGGAAGAAGACCUGACGGUACUUGAGGAAUAAGCCACGGCUAAUUCCGUGCCAGCAGCCGCGGUAAUACGGGAGUGGCAAGCGUUAUCCGGAAUUAUUGGGCGUAAAGCGUCCGCAGGCGGCCCUGUAAGUCUGUCGUUAAAGCGUGGAGCUUAACUCCAUUUAAGCGAUGGAAACUACAGGGCUUGAGUGUGGUAGGGGCAGAGGGAAUUCCCGGUGUAGCGGUGAAAUGCGUAGAUAUCGGGAAGAACACCAGUGGCGAAGGCGCUCUGCUGGGCCAUAACUGACGCUCAUGGACGAAAGCCAGGGGAGCGAAAGGGAUUAGAUACCCCUGUAGUCCUGGCCGUAAACGAUGAACACUAGGUGUCGGGGGAAUCGACCCCCUCGGUGUCGUAGCCAACGCGUUAAGUGUUCCGCCUGGGGAGUACGCACGCAAGUGUGAAACUCAAAGGAAUUGACGGGGGCCCGCACAAGCGGUGGAGUAUGUGGUUUAAUUCGAUGCAACGCGAAGAACCUUACCAGGGUUUGACAUCCUGCGAACCCCCUGGAAACGGGGGGGUGCCUUCGGGAACGCAGUGACAGGUGGUGCAUGGCUGUCGUCAGCUCGUGUCGUGAGAUGUUGGGUUAAGUCCCGCAACGAGCGCAACCCACGUCGUUAGUUGCCAGCAUUCAGUUGGGCACUCUAGCGAGACCGCCGGUGAUAAACCGGAGGAAGGUGUGGAUGACGUCAAGUCAUCAUGCCCCUUACAUCCUGGGCUACACACGUACUACAAUGCUACGGACAAAGGGCCGCAAGCUCGCGAGAGUUAGCAAAUCCCAUAAACCGUGGCUCAGUUCAGAUCGUAGGCUGCAACUCGCCUACGUGAAGGAGGAAUCGCUAGUAAUCGCAGGUCAGCAUACUGCGGUGAAUACGUUCCCGGGCCUUGUACACACCGCCCGUCACACCAUGGAAGUUGGCCACGCCCGAAGUCGUUACUCCAACCCUUGUGGAGGAGGACGCCGAAGGUGGGGCUGAUGACUGGGGUGAAGUCGUAACAAGGUAGCCGUACCGGAAGGUGCGGCUGGAUCACCUCCUAACAGGGAUACU